AUCUGGUUACAAAUGUGACCCUUGCAAAGGUUGGCACUGUCAUGGACUCUCGUGAUGAAACAUUAGAAACAGUAAAAAUGUUUUACUGUGUGUAGCUGCACUGGUGUAGUUGUUGUACCUUCAAUGAUUUUUGUUUUCAUUUUGCAGAUAUUUAUUUUGUAGUUGUGGUCUACUCAGCAGUGAGAACUGAAGACGUCAGUUAUGGACAAACAAUCAUCAGAACAAGGAGGCCCAGACUUUAAACCAGAGCCAGACGUUGUCUACUCUUCACUGAAGUAGUCCACCAGUCCAACCACUGACGUCCAGCUGCUGGUCUCUAAUUGGUCCCCCCAGCAUCUCAGACCAGAGUAAAAAAA